rnacentral:rRNA from 1 species
AGUGGAAAAGGAUGUGGGGUUGCUUAGACAACCAGGAUGUUGGCUUAGAAGCAGCCACCAUUGAAAGAGUGCGUAAUAGCUCACUGGUCGAGUGACCCCGCGCCGAAAAUGUACCGGGGCUAAACAUAUUACCGAAACUGUGGAUGAACCUCUUUAGAGGUUCGUGGUAGGAGAGCGUUCUAAGGGCGGUGAAGUCAGACCGGAAGGACUGGUGGAGCGCUUAGAAGUGAGAAUGCCGGUAUGAGUAGCGAAAGAAGGGUGAGAAUCCCUUCCACCGAAUAUCUAAGGUUUCCUGAGGAAGGCUCGUCCGCUCAGGGUUAGUCGGGACCUAAGCCGAGGCCGAUAGGCGUAGGCGAUGGACAACAGGUAGAGAUUCCUGUACCAGUGCUAAUUGUUUAACCGAUGGGGUGACACAGAAGGAUAGGGAAUCGCACGAAUGGAAAUGUGCGUCCAAGCAGUGAGUGUGAGAAGUAGGCAAAUCCGCUUCUCGCGAAGCAUGAGCUGUGAUGGGGAAGGAAAUUAAGUACGGAAGUUCCUGAUUUCACGCUGUCAAGAAAAGCCUCUAGGAAGAGUAGUACUGCCCGUACCGCAAACCGACACAGGUAGAUGAGGAGAGAAUCCUAAGGUGAGCGAGAGAACUCUCGUUAAGGAACUCGGCAAAAUGACCCCGUAACUUCGGGAGAAGGGGUGCUCUAUUAGGGUGCAAGCCCGAGAGAGCCGCAGUGAAUAGGCCCAGGCGACUGUUUAGCAAAAACACAGGUCUCUGCAAAACCGUAAGGUGACGUAUAGGGGCUGACGCCUGCCCGGUGCUGGAAGGUUAAGAGGAGUGCUUAGCUUCGGCGAAGGUACGAAUUGAAGCCCCAGUAAACGGCGGCCGUAACUAUAACGGUCCUAAGGUAGCGAAAUUCCUUGUCGGGUAAGUUCCGACCCGCACGAAAGGCGCAACGAUCUGGGCACUGUCUCAACGAGAGACUCGGUGAAAUUAUAGUACCUGUGAAGAUGCAGGUUACCCGCGACAGGACGGAAAGACCCCGUGGAGCUUUACUGCAACCUGAUAUGGAAUGUUUGUACCGCUUGUACAGGAUAGGUAGGAGCCGAAGAGACGUGUGCGCUAGCAUACGAGGAGGCAAUGGUGGGAUACUACCCUGGCUGUAUGACCAUUCUAACCCGCCACGCUUAGCGCGUGGGGAGACAGUGUCAGGUGGGCAGUUUGACUGGGGCGGUCGCCUCCUAAAGAGUAACGGAGGCGCCCAAAGGUUCCCUCAGAAUGGAUGGAAAUCAUUCGCAGAGUGUAAAGGCACAAGGGAGCUUGACUGCGAGACUGACAAGUCGAGCAGGGACGAAAGUCGGGCUUAGUGAUCCGGUGGUUCCGCAUGGAAGGGCCAUCGCUCAACGGAUAAAAGCUACCCCGGGGAUAACAGGCUUAUCUCCCCCAAGAGUCCACAUCGACGGGGAGGUUUGGCACCUCGAUGUCGGCUCGUCGCAUCCUGGGGCUGUAGUCGGUCCCAAGGGUUGGGCUGUUCGCCCAUUAAAGCGGCACGCGAGCUGGGUUCAGAACGUCGUGAGACAGUUCGGUCCCUAUCCGUCGCGGGCGCAGGAAAUUUGAGAGGAGCUGUCCUUAGUACGAGAGGACCGGGAUGGACACACCGCUGGUGUACCAGUUGUUCCGCCAGGAGCAUCGCUGGGUAGCUAUGUGUGGCAGGGAUAAACGCUGAAAGCAUCUAAGCGUGAAGCCCCCCUCAAGAUGAGAUUUCCCAUUUCUUCGGAAAGUAAGAUCCCUGAAAGAUGAUCAGGUAGAUAGGUUUGGAGUGGAAGUGUAGCGAUACAUGGAGCGGACAAAUACUAAUCGAUCGAGGACUUAACCAAAA